GUUGGGCUGUUCGCCCAUUAAAGCGGUACGUGAGCUGGGUUCAGACCGUCGUGAGACAGGUCGGUCUCUAUCCUCUGUGGGCGUAGGCGACUUGAGAGGAGCUGCUCCUAGUACGAGAGGACCGGAGUGGACAGACCGCUAGUGUGCCAGUUGUCGUGCCAACGGCAUCGCUGGGUAGCUACGUCUGGCAAGGAUAACCGCUGAAAGCAUCUAAGUGGGAAGCCUGCCUCAAGAUGAGGUCGCCCAUCCCCUUGUGGGAGUAAGACCGCUGGAAGACCACCAGCUUGAUAGGCGGGACGUGUAAGCACAGCAAUGUGUUCAGCGAACCCGUACUAAUGGUCGAGGGCUUAUCCGU
rnacentral:rRNA from 1 species